rnacentral:pre_miRNA from 1 species
GUAGUAUUCCCUCCAUCCCAAAAUUCUUGUCUUACAUUUGUUUAGAUACGGAUGUAUCUAACACUAAAAUGUAACUAGAUACAUUCGUAUUUAGACAAAUUUAAGACAAGAAUGUUGGGACGGAGGGAGUACAAA